rnacentral:sRNA from 1 species
UCCUCGAUCUGCUGCGGGCAGAUGUAGUGGAUGUGGCUGUCCAUGCCGCCUGCCGUGAGGAUCCGCCCCUCGCCCGCGAUCACCUCGGUUCCGGGGCCCACGACGAUAUCGACAUUCGGCUGGGUGUCGGGGUUGCCCGCCUUGCCGAUGGCGGCGAUGCGUCCGUCCUUCAGCCCGACAUCCGCCUUGUAGAUGCCUGUAUGGUCGAGGAUCAGCGCGUUGGUGAUCAGCGUGUCGACCGCGCCUUCGGCGCGCGAACGCUGGCUCUGGCCCAUGCCGUCGCGGA